GUGUGAAUUUUAGAUUACCUGGGUAGUAUUAGUUAAGGUCUUUAAACCCAAAGAAUUUGGCGGUAUUUCAUUCCAUUCAGAGGAACCUGUCUCGUAAUUGAUAAUACACGAUUAACUUUACUUGAUUUAUUUGUUUGUAUAUCUCCGUUAUCAGAAAAUCUUUUUGGAGUUGUAAUUUUCCUGUUUUCUCAUUAGAAAUUAUUCCAGGUCAAGGUGCAGCUUAUAGUCAAGUGUAUGAUGGGUUACAAUAAAUUUUUUUAUUAUGGAUUUAAUUUUGAAAUUUUUUAAGGAAGGUGGAUUUGAUGGUAAUUUAAUUUAUUUAGUUUAAUUGAUAUUGGCUCU
rnacentral:rRNA from 1 species